rnacentral:rRNA from 1 species
CCUACGGGAGGCAGCAGUGAGGAAUAUUGGUCAAUGGGCGGAAGCCUGAACCAGCCAAGUCGCGUGAAGGAUGAAGGCCUUAUGGGUUGUAAACUUCUUUAGCUGGGGAGAAAUAAGGUGCUCGAGACCACCGAUGCUAGUACCCAGAGAAAUAGGAUUGGCUAACUCCGUGCCAGCCGCCCGGGUAAU